rnacentral:rRNA from 1 species
UUCCAACAACUAACAACUCAGAAUGCUGGGCAAUAGGACGUUUAAAGUGGCUCCUUACACCUUACAAAGGAAUGGCUGAUGAGAAACAACUCGAUCCGCUCAGCGUUCUAUUGGAAUGCAACGGACGUGAUUGCAAGCUUUUGUUUUGAGUUGCGGUUUUACUGAAAGACUCUACAAUCCGCAAACUUCAAUGAUCUGAAGUAGAAAACCUACAUGCUACAGUGAGAUAUUGUGGAUAAACUUAAGCGACCGCUCCAACAUUGUGUUUUUUUAAAACUGAUGAAGGUUGCGGCAAUAACAGGUCUGUGAUGCCCUUCGAUGUCCUGGGCUGCACACGUGCUACAAUGGCUAGCGCAGUGAG